GAUUUGGAUAAAAUUGAGGUCAAUUUGAUUAAGUUGAUUUUGAACUGAAAAUUAGAAAUAGGAAAAUCAUAUUUUGUGGUUUGAACUAAAUUAACUAGUUAACAAAUUUAUUUAGAAAAAAUAAAAUAAUUUUACUUAUUUAAAAUAAAUUAAUUAAAAAAAUUACGGAGAUUCAGUUCUUAUUCGAUUCUUCGGGUCUUGGCCUA
rnacentral:lncRNA from 1 species